rnacentral:rRNA from 1 species
UACGUAGGGAGCGAGCGUUGUCCGGAAUUACUGGGUGUAAAGGGCGUGUAGGCGGGAGCGCAAGUCAGAUGUGAAAACUCAGGGCUCAACCCUGAGCCUGCAUUUGAAACUGUGUUUCUUGAGUGCUGGAGAGGCAAUCGGAAUUCCGUGUGUAGCGGUGAAAUGCGUAGAUAUCACGCAGAACCCCGAUUGCGAAGGCAGCAUACCGGCGCCCGACUGACGCUGAGGCACGAAAGUGCGGGUAUCGAACAGG